CGCCGCGUGAGUGAUGAAGGGUUUCGGCUCGUAAAACUCUGUUAUUAGGGAAGAACAAACGUGUAAGUAACUGUGCACGUCUUGACGGUACCUAAUCAGAAAGCCACGGCUAACUACGUGCCAGCAGCCGCGGUAAUACGUAGGUGGCAAGCGUUAUCCGGAAUUAUUGGGCGUAAAGCGCGCGUAGGCGGUUUCUUAAGUCUGAUGUGAAAGCCCACGGCUCAACCGUGGAGGGUCAUUGGAAACUGGGAAACUUGAGUGCAGAAGAGGAAAGUGGAAUUCCAUGUGUAGCGGUGAAAUGCGCAGAGAUAUGGAGGAACACCAGUGGCGAAGGCGACUUUCUGGUCUGUAACUGACGCUGAUGUGCGAAAGCGUGGGGAUCAAACAGGAUUAGAUACCCUGGUAGUCCACGCCGUAAACGAUGAGUGCUAAGUGUUAGGGGGUUUCCGCCCCUUAGUGCUGCAGCUAACGCAUUAAGCACUCCGCCUGGGGAGUACGACCGCAAGGUUGAAACUCAAAGGAAUUGACGGGGACCCGCACAAGCGGUGGAGCAUGUGGU
rnacentral:rRNA from 1 species